rnacentral:rRNA from 1 species
CAGCAGCCGCGGUAAUACGGAGGGUGCAAGCGUUGCUCGGAAUUACUGGGCGUAAAGCGUACGCAGGCGGUCUGAUAAGUCGGGUGUGAAAGCCCCGGGCUCAACCCGGGAACUGCAUUCGAAACUGCCAGACUUGAGUUUGGGAGAGGGAAGUGGAAUUCCUGGUGUAGAGGUGAAAUUCGUUGAUAUCAGGAGGAACACCGGCGGCGAAAGCGGCUUCCUGGCCCGAUACUGACGCUCAUGUACGAAAGCGUGGGGAGCAAACAGGAUUAGAUACCCUGGUAGUCCACGCCGUAAACGAUGAGUGCUAGAUGUUGGAGGUAUUCACCCCUUCAGUGUCGAAGCUAACGCAUUAAGCACUCCGCCUGGGGAGUACGGCCGCAAGGUUAAAACUCAAAGGAAUUGACGGGG